UUUUUUUUUUUUUGCAUCCUAAAAGUGGUUUAAUGUAGAUUCCAAUAUAAUUAGUUUCAAAAGUACAUGGUUGGAUUUGCCUGUAGCAUGUGUAUGUAUAUGAGGGUUUUUUUGGUUUUGUGGGUUUUUUUUGUUUGUUUGUUUGUUUUUUGUUUUUUGUUUUUUUGAGCAUGGUUAUUUUUUGUGUCCUUGAGGUGUUUACAGCCUCCUGGAAGGUGCCCAUUUAUGUAAGGAACGUUGAGGGAUAUCUUAGUAUCCAUGUCUAUAUGUAUUUUGUUUUCAUUUUUAUUUGCAUGUUGUUUUCCUAGGUUUCUGUUUUGCAUGUUUGUAGCUCUAAGAGUCUCAGUGUCUGUGUGAAGUCUAUGUGUUCUUAAUGUGGAAAGGAUGAUUUAGACAAAUAUUUGAAAGUGUGAGUUUUAGAAGGGUUGACUAUCUUUGUGUGUGUUUGUGGAGAGAAGAGGAAUUCAGUGUGUUGGCAUGUGUUUAUACGUUUUAUUGGGGUAUGCACCAUGUAUGCUGGAAUGUUGAGGCAACUCCAUAAUUUAUCAUCCAUAAGGGACAUAUUUGAGAGUGAAAUAUUUAUGUGUGCUUGACGAUAAUUAUACUUGGAAAACAGAGGUGAUCCAUGACUGGCCCAGGCAAUCCAGAAUAUUUUGACACCUCUGGGUAUGUGUGUGCAUAUGUGUGAAAGUAUGUCUUGGAAUGGACAUUUGCAUGUUUUUGAUUUUCUGUGUGUUGCUAGUAUCAGGAAUUCAUAAGGAUAACAGAACAGUAGAAGUCAUUACAUUAUUUAGGUCUUUCUCAGAGACAUCACAGAAGCAUUAAUGAAAUUAACAGGUAAGAGCAGGUCAGCCACAAAGAGAUGGGUAAAAAAAAAAAAAAAAAAAAAAAAAAAGAGACAGAUCAAUGACCUGAGAAAAGAGGCCACACACAUCUUGCGGUGACAAAAACCCACAUGGUUAAAAAAAAAUCAGCACCGCGAGCGAGAAGAAAUGCGAAGUACAUUGUGCUAGAGUGUCUUUCAUGUAUAACAUCCACUUUGCUGCGUCCUCUGUAUGCCUCCUGCCUUGUUCCCCAUGAGUAACUCCAGCUUGCGAUGGCCAAGAUAGCUGAGACCUUUUAUCCGCUUACCUCAACAGUUUGGGAAAAAUAGCUCAGCGUGACCUCCAUCAUGUAAGAAACAAAAAGAGGCUGGAGAGAGUUGGCAGCUUCAUUUCAGAAAAGAAAUCCCAGGGAAGCUCUUGGCAUUCUCAGUCCUUUUCAGAGAGUGCUGCCCCUGAGUCCCUGGUUUAUAUAUAUACCCCCUGGGGCUGGGAAAUCCACUGACUUAGUUCUCACGGGCUUUGCUGGGUGUAGCAGAGAGGCUGGAAUAGUGUGCUUGCUCCUACUCUGCCAUAGUGAUGAAAUAAUUUCUCAGCCGCUCCAUGCUCCUAAUCAUCCCUUUUUCACACUCUAUACCUUUCUACCAGUGGAGUCUCUGUGAUAGCUUCUAAAUGUUCUGAUCCUACCAGUAGUACUAGCUAUAUGGUAGGCCAUUGAAAGGUGGAGUUUAACUACUUCCUUCUGAAUCUGGACUGGUCUUGGUGACUUAUUUGAACAAGAGAACGUAUCAGAAGUGACUUUCUGCAUGUCCAAAGAUCCCUCAUGAGGGCCUCCUGGCUUUUGCUCAGAUCCCUUUACUCUUCUGGAAACAAGCUGCAACUCUGUGAGAAGUCCACAUUCCUUGAGAGACCACUCUGGUCUAUUUGGUCUUUGUAGACACUCUGGUCAACAGCCCGAGCUAAGCAUCCAGCUGACAAAUAGCAUCAUUUUCCUAUGCAAUUGCCAGCCCAGCCCAGAUGUCAGACAAGUGAGUGAAGAGGCCAUCCUAGAAGUGAAUACACAGUCAGUGGGCUCUUCCUAAAAUCCUGAUGCUCAGAGUCAAAUGGUUAACAGGACUAAGUUUUGGAGUAGUUUCUUGCCCAACAAUAAAUAACUGGAACAGUAGUGUUAGAAAUAGCUACAAUGUAUUGAGCCAUCACUGUUUGUCAGGGGAUGUUCUUAGGGAUGUAUAUACACAUUAUUUCAUUGUAUCUUCACAAUCAUCUAAGGACUUUGGAGUUUUACUAUUCCCAUUACAUGCAUGAGGAAGUUGACGUGAGGAAACUGGCUUAGAUCACACAGCUAGUAAUUAGCAGGGAUGUACUGAGACCAGGACUUUUUCUUAACCACCUCCCUCUUUUCCAGCUCUGUGACUAUACUAAUAUCAACAUGUAGGGACACAUUUUUGUUUGUUUGUUUUGUUUUGCUUGGAAUGAACAUCCCUAUCAUUCUACUAAAAACUGACAAAUUCCUUCUGACCCUUUAUGGUCUAGCUUUAUAACCAUAUCUGUUUUAUACCCAAAUCCAAUGUAGAUUUCUGACAGCAAGUACUUAAGUACUACACUACCUGGUAUUAAUGGAAUGAAAAUGAACAAUUUACUAAACCUCCCUGAGGCUCCUUCUUCUCCUCUGUAAAAUUGUUUAAAAUGACUUCUUCAUAGACUUGUUGUGAAGAUUAGAUGGGAUGAGGGAUACUUAAAUGUGUCCUGUGUGGAGGACUAGAAUGUACCCACUAACCAUUACUAAGGUAGAGCUGCAGGCAGAAAGGAUGCACACACUACUCAGUCGCCUUACACUGUGUGUGUCCCUGGGUACCCAGAGUCAACUAAGGCACUUGUGUCCUCAAGGAGUUCAGAGUUCAGUGGAAUGGAAAACAAGCAAAGGAACCAAUAUGUUAAUGAGAUUUAUGGCAGGAUGGAGUGAGGCACAGAGUGUCUGAACCUCAAAAAGGGGCCCUAAAUUCCUUUGGGAUGACUGACAUGUCUUGAAGGAUUUCUUGGAUAUGAAAUGAGCCCUGCAGGUUGAGAAUGUAUUAGUGAGGUUAAUGAAGAGGAAAACCAGGUAUUCAAGAAUGAGCUUUAGCAAAGAAGGGAAGGAACUCAAGAGUGGAAUGUAAGGGAAGAUCUCCAAGUAACUUGGUACCUUAGGGGCCUAACAGUAUUCAGAUGAAGGUGGCCUGGGGUAGAGACGCAAGGGAAGGAGUAAGACAAAACCUUGGAUUCCAAGGUGAAGGUCUUAUGGCAAGGUCAGUGAGGCGCUAUCAAAGGAUUGAGAACAAUGAAUCAGAUGAGCUGAUCUGCAUUUUAGAACAAAUACUUUGGAGACUGUUCUGGAAAGGGCAGGCCUGGAGGCAGAGAAACUGAUGUGGAGGAUUUUAUAGUAUUCUAAGAAAAAAGGUGAUGUCAUAUGAUCCAAAGGCAGGGCAGUGGGCAUCAGAGAAAACCAACGAAAGAAGAAAACUGGGUGGCUGAAUGGCCAAGAGGAACAAAGAUGCAGAAGGACUCUGAGUUAGUAUCUUGGUUUCUGACGUGGGUGACAGUUCAUGGAGACACUCCACAAUCAAAUAAAAGUAAAAGAAUGACAAAGAAAGGUCAGUCUCUUUCCAGUCCCCUGAGGUGAGGCUGUAUGGUGGGGAGGACAGUGAGUCCAAGAGCCUGCAGUGUGCAAGUCACAGCUUCCACAGGAGCAUCAACCCCAGCAUUACAGCAUAUCCACAUUUGUGAUUAAAACUAAACUCUAAUCGUGCCAGACCCACUUUGGCAUAAUAAGUGUGAUUUUUAACAUAAUGCACUGCUGGAAUGAAGCUGUCAGAAAAGCAGGAGGCGGAGGAGGUAAUCUGUGAGACGUCGCAGAAGAGAAGAUUGAAGCCAUUUUAUGUGGCUGGAAAUGAGUCAUUUGUCAGCAAUGCCAAUGUGCCAUCAGCUCCACAGGGAGAGAUGACUGGGUACCCGGGGCAGGGGGAGGGCUGGGGAAGGUGUCAACCUCCAGUCACCAGAGGCCACAUGUGGGGUAAGAUGUGUCAGUCACAUCACAUCUCUGUCCUGACCUGGGUCAGAAGGAAACCAAGGUCAUGUCAGAGCAUUUAGCAUCGUAACCAAGGAACCUUCUAACCUGCCUCUGUCAGGAAGGAACUGAUGUUCUCAGCAUUAUCAAAGACAGCUCAGAGCUUUAAUUCCCCAGGAGAUUGGCACUUUAAAAGAACAGCGAGAGGGCAGCACUUUUAGGAAAAAGAAAGUGAGAGGUAAGAGUGAAUUGGAGGCCUGGGGAAGAAGAGACUUCUGAGCAAGGACUUGCCUAAGGUCAGUGAAAGAGUACCUCGGAGCUGAACACUGCUCUCUCUACUCAAUUGUUUGGGUUGGGGGCUGGGAGGAAGCAGGGUGCUUCUGAGUCCAAAUAGCUUGUUACCUCACCCCAUUGACUUCAUCCGAUCUAAGUCUUGUUCUAGGAAAUGGAACCUAUUACAACACACAUUACCUGUUCUCAUAUAUGUUAUAUUGUGUCAUGUGCUUUACAUUCAUCAAAUAAAUAUUUAGCAACAUUUCUAAAGAAUGAUUUCUGCUUGAUCAAGCUGGAAAUUAAUAGGACUUAAAAGUUUUCAUUUUUUUUUUUAAUGGAAAGGCAUCACAAUCCCUGAACAAUUCACUAGGUUGACUUCAUUUAGUCACUUCCAUGCUUUCCUGUAGAUCUACCCUAAAUCCCUAGCUGAACAGUGCCAGAAAUUGAUGAAAUGUUCUACCUUAUGUCACAUAUACACACAAAGUUCAAUAUCAGUACUGAUACUCUCGUCUACAGGUUUGGUUAUACUUAGCAAAAAUCAAAUAUUUUCUUUCCUCUGGAGCCAGAUAGGUACUCCUGACAGAGAUGAAGAGGAAAACUAAAGCACAGAACAUGUGCUAUCUGCCAGGUGCUAUUUGUAUGUCAAUAAUGAUCCACACACCAACACCAGAGGAUAGACAUCAUUAUUCAUUUUAGGCAGAUUAAGCAAAAAAGUAAGUGGGGGGAGAGCAACGAGUGAAAUCAUAUGCUUGAGGUCACGUACGUAGCAAAUAGCAAAGAAUAAAAUCAGAAAGAGGUUUACUGCUUACUAUAAACUAUACACACGUUUGAACAAGGUCAGGGUGUAUGGUAGAACCGGUGCCUUCAUGUCAGCUUUGAAAAUAACAAUCAAGAAACAGGAGUAAUUGGAAACAGUAUUUCAUUUGUUUAAUUCCAAGGAGACUGUGUAGUAUCUUUUUUUCUAUUGAUUUUAAGAUAAGGAUUUUAUGACACUUUUUUUAAACUUCUCUGAGAUGUCUUCCAUUCCCAACUCCUUUUCUUUGUUUUAGAUCAUUUUGAAAAUCAAAUUCAGUCCCUUUAAUCCAUGGAUCCUUCUCUGAUUCCACCACUGGAAGUAACUUUCUUCAUUAUAGGAUUCUAGAAUCCUGUGCCAUUCAUCUAGCAUUUAAGGUUUUGCAACUUGACUUACACCUGUUUAUUGUCCAGCGGUAUAAGGGUUGAUGGGAGAGAUACAGAAGGCUAAAAUUUAGGAUCAAAUCAAUGACAUUAUUUUUUUCAAUCUGUGAUUUCCUUAUUAAGAGGGAGGGAGGGAGGGACAGUGAGAGAAGAGAGAGAGAAGGAGAGGGAAACAGAGAGAAAGAGAGAGAGAGAGGAGAGAGGGAGAGAAAGAGGAAAAAAAUAUUUAAUAAGUAUUUUCAACCAAUUCUCUCUGAAGCUCAUUCCCCCUCUGGUAAUGAAUGUGAAUAAAACUACUCUUUAUGCCUCUUUCACAGAGCUAAUGUGAGGAUCAAAUGGGAUUCUAUAAGGGAGAGUACUUUUUAAAAAAUCCAGAUCCUAUAGUUAGAAUAACUGUUAGAGCAACAAUAAAAAUUACUACAAAAAUCCAUGAAUCCAUGAACUACCUGAAAAUUUUUUCCUUUAAGUUAAGACUCUUAGAAGACUGAGCACAGAUAUAAGAUAUACUUUUCUUGUUAUGCUUAUUCCUAAAUUCCUAGUAAAGUCUAAUUUAUUUGUACAUCUUAAUAGUUUGGAAUCAGUAAAGAUUUUAACAAAUACCAGACAGUUUUUAAUAGGUUUCUAGGCAAUAAAAAUGGAAAACAAAGUUACCAGUGGGGGCACGAAAAAGAUGGUUUAAACUAUUCAAGAAAUCAGACAUUAUUCAAGAACACAUAAAAUCUAUUUAGCUGUUUCUGUUUAACUGCUUGCCAAGAAUACACAAAUCAAUCUUGUUUAUGUUCGGUUUUUGACUCCGUAGUAAAUUUGCAUGUUCUAAAAUGGCAUUUAAAAAGGAACAUAGUCUAAACCUUUCUUUUCCCAACAUAGGGGAUUUGAAACCAUCAGCAGAAUAGUAGCCCUUAGUUUUGCAACCUGUAAAAUUAGGAAGUUGAACUAGAUUAGGAAUAGAAAGAACAUGGUAAGUUGGUCCAACACUACUCAACUCCUUGCCCAUGGCAGACAUCACUAAGGGAACAGAACACUUUCCCACUGAGCUAUGAAGCAGCCUCAGAAUCAUACUUUCCUUUCUGCUCCCAGCAGCUGCUAUCAACCAACUAGAACUUGGCCAGUGCAGGAUUAGAUGAUUUCUCAGAUUUCAUUGUUUAACCCUGACAUUUUCAAAAUAUAUGAAUGUAAUGAGUUUGCCUAACUUCUAACAUUCAUUUUGUUAAAAAACAGUCUGUUCUUAUUCUCCGGAAGGUGUUGACAAAUUUCAGUUGGUAUUUCUCAUUCAUUUGUCUGUCUUCUCUGUUCCCCAUCCUGUGAAUGGUACCGGUGUCUCUCAGUAGGAGAUGCCAAGUAAAUGAAACUGCCCAGCAGGAAACCCUGUUUGGCAAUUCUAACAAGGCCUGAAAAAUUGAUUUCCUCAUUAGAAACAGCUCAAGUUUCCUAUCUGGUGAAUAUGCAAGUUCUGGGCACCAGUUGUGUAGGGUGGCUUUACCUGAACAAAAUAUUGAAGCAUAAGGAAGACAAAUGAAAAGCAAAUGCCUGGUAAUGAUGGGUUCUAACAUUUACCUUGACAAUAGGAAAUAAAAAUCCCAUUCCUUUAGCAUGCAUUUUCUGAGUUAACACCCUUUAGUCCUAGGAGUGGAAAGAGAAUGGAGAUUGUGGCUUGCAUUCCUACUGUGUAUCAUUUAAUUCAAUCACAAUAAUACUAGUUAACCUGUAUUAAACCUUUUCCAUGCAUCAGGAACUACUUUAAGCACUUUGCUUGAAUUAGUUCAUUUAAUCUCCAUGAGAGCUCUGUACAAUAGGUAUUGCUUGUAUCUUUAACAAAUGAAGAAAUGAAGGCAAAAGAGUUUAAGCAACUUGCCCAAAGUCGUACAAUUGUAAGUGGCAUAGCUUGUGACAGAAUCUAUGAGGUCUGGCUUCAGAGUCUGAGCUUAGAACCAUUGUGUUAUAUGAGCUCAUGAUGUUCUAAAGACUUGGCCAUUAUUUUUAUUUUUCUUAUGAAUAAAGCCAACUACAGAGCCUAUUACCUUCUAGUCAU
ensembl:lncRNA